AUUGAACGCUGGCGGCAGGACUAACACAUGCAAGUCGAGCGGAGCGGCGUACGGGUGAGUAAUGCCUAUGAAUCUGCCUGUUACUGUGGGAUAACGUCCGGAAACGGGCACUAAUACCGCAUACUAUCAGAUGAGCCUAGGUCGGAUUAGCUAGUUGGUGGGGUAAAGGCUUACCAAGGCGACGAUCCGUAACUGGUAUGAGAGGAUGAGCAGUCAACAGUGAACUGAGACACGGUCCAGACUCCUACGGGAGGCAGCAGUGGGGAAUAUUGGACAAUGGGCGAAAGCCUGAUCCAGCCAUGCCGCGUGUGUGAAGAAGGUCUUCGGAUUGUAAAGCACUUUAAGCUGGGAGGCGUUACCCACAGAAUAAGCACCGGCUAACUUCGUGCCAGCAGCCGCGGUAAUAC
rnacentral:rRNA from 1 species